rnacentral:pre_miRNA from 1 species
UGCUAACGAAUGCUCUGACUUUAUUGCACUACUGUACUUUACAGCUAGCAGUGCAAUAGUAUUGUCAAAGCAUGUGAAAGCAGA